GAUGAACGCUGGCGGCGUGCCUAAUACAUGCAAGUCGAGCGCUCAGAUGAGGAGCUUGCUCUUCUGAGGUUAGCGGCGGACGGGUGAGUAACACGUAGAUAACCUACCUUUUAGACGGGGAUAACUUCGGGAAACCAUAGCUAAUACCGCAUAAUAUUUUAUACCGCAUGGUUCAAAAUUGAAAGGCGCUUUUGCUGCACCAUAUAGAGGACUUCCGUUCGCUUAAGCUAUUGGGUAAGGAAACGGCAUACCAAGGCAACGAUCCGUAGCCGACCUGAGAGGGUGAUCGGCCACAAGGGAACUGAGACACGGUCCAGACUCCUACGGGAGGCAGCAGUGGGGAAUCUUGGGCAAUGGGCGAAAGCUUGACGGAGCAACGCCGCGUGGUUGAUGAAGUUCUUGGGUUGGUAAAACCCGUUGAUUGGCAAGGAAGAGAUGUAGAAUGAAAUAUGCACGUUUUGACGGUAGCUAAACAGAAAGCCACGGCUAACUACGUG
rnacentral:rRNA from 1 species